GGGAUUGUGGCUCAGCAGUAGAGCGCUCACCUUGCACAAGCCAGACCCUGGGUUCGAUCCUCAGCAUCACG
rnacentral:tRNA from 1 species